AUUGAACGCUGGCGGCAGGCUUAACACAUGCAAGUCGAGCGAGCGGCGGACGGGUGAGUAAUGUAUGGGAAACUGCCUGAUGGAGGGGGAUAACUACUGGAAACGGUAGCUAAUACCGCAUACCAUCAGAUGGGCCCAGAUGGGAUUAGCUAGUGGGUGGGGUAAUGGCUCACCAAGGCGACGAUCCCUAGCUGGUCUGAGAGGAGGACCAGCAACACUGGAACUGAGACACGGUCCAGACUCCUACGGGAGGCAGCAGUGGGGAAUAUUGCACAAUGGGCGAAAGCCUGAUCUAGCCAUGCCGCGUGUGUGAAGAAGGCCUUCGGGUUGUAAAGCACUUUAAGCGAGGAGGCGUUACUCGCAGAAGAAGCACCGGCUAACUCCGUGCCAGCCGCCGCGGUAAUAC
rnacentral:rRNA from 1 species